GAUGAACGCUGGCGGCGUGCCUAACACAUGCAAGUCGAGCGGCAGCGAGGGGUGCUUGCACCCUGUCGGCGAGCGGCGGACGGCUGAGUAGCGCGUGGGAACGUGCCCCAAAGUGAGGAAUAACUGCCCGAAAGGGUAGCUAAUACCGCAUAUUAUCUUCGGAUCAAAGGAUUUAUCCGCUUUGGGAGCGGCUCGCGUCGGAUUAGGUAGUUGGUGAGGUAAUGGCUCACCAAGCCGACGAUCCGUAGCUGGUCUGAGAGGAUGACCAGCCAGACUGGAACUGAGACACGGUCCAGACUCCUACGGGAAGCAGCAGUGAGGAAUCUUCCACAAUGGGCGAAAGCCUGAUGGAGCAACGCCGCGUGCAGGACGAAGGCCUUCGGAUUGUAAACUGCUUUUAUAAGUGAGGAAUAUGACGGUAACUUAUGAAUAAGGAUCGGCUAACUACGUG
rnacentral:rRNA from 1 species